UUUAACAGCUUGUCCUGGAUAUGAACCAGGGUUCUAGACUUUAACAGCUUGUCCUGGAUAUGAACCAGGGUUCUAGAUUUUAACAGCUUGUCCUGGAUAUGAACCAGGGUUCUAGACUUUAACAGCUUGUCCUGGAUAUGAACCAGGGUUCUAGACUUUAACAGCUUGUCCUGGAUAUGAACCAGGGUUCUAGACUUUAACAGCUUGUCCUGGAUAUGAACCAGGGUUCUAGACUUUAACAGCUUGUCCUGGAUAUGAACCAGGGUUCUAGACUUUAACAGCUUGUCCUGGAUAUGAACCAGGGUUCUAGGGAACGUAUGUUUGGAUGGUCAUUGAUGACCAAUAAUGGGUAAGUAGUGAAAGCAGUUCUAGCCACAGUGUUUGACCGACACAAUUGGCCUGAUGUACAGUAUUCACACACCUUGACCGUUUCCUCAAAAAUGGUAUUUUUUUGUUGUCAACGAUCUAGAUAAGUAUUCAACCUCCUGAGUCAAAACAUGUUAUAAUCCCAUUUCUUCCUCUCUGGUGACUGAGUUAGGAAGGAGGCCUACAUCUGUGUAGUGACUGGGUGUAUUGACACACCAUCCAAAGUGUCAUUAAUAACUUCACCAUGCUCAGAGGGAUAUUACAUUUCUGUUUUUUUAUUUUCUUUCUUACCCAUCUACCAAUAGGUGCCCUUCUUUGUGAGGCAUUGGAAAACCUCCCUAAACUUUAUGGUUGAAUCUGUGUUUGAAAUUCACUGCUGGACUGAGGGACCUUUCAGAUAAUUGUAUGUGUGGGGUUCAGAAAGGAGGUAGUCAUUCAAACAUCAUGUUAAACCUGUUAUUGCACACAGAGUGAGUCCAUGCAACUUAUUAGAUGACUUGUUAAACACGUUGUUUUACUCCCGAACUGAUUUAGGCUCCUUGUCAUAACAGGGUGGUUGAAUACUUAUUGACUCAAGACAUUUUAGCUUUCAUUUUUUUAAUUCCACUUUGACAUUGUGGGGUAUUGUGUGUAGGCCAGUGACACAAAAUCUCAAUUUAAUCAUUUUUAAAUUCAGGCUGUAACACAACAAAAUGUGGAAAAAGUCUAGGGGUGUGAAUACUUUCUGAAGGAGCGGUAGGUAGAGUAGAUCUUUCCUUUGUCUGGCCCUCCCCUCCGGUGGCUACCGAGGAUGAAAAGCCAGCCUUUUUACAUGCCGAUAGCGCCAUCUAGUGGAUAACCUCUAACCCACAUCAAAUACAAUGCAGUUUCGUUUAUUAUAGGUCGACAAUUAAAACAUAUCAGUAAUAUCAGAAGGAUGCUUUGAUAUUUCCUCAUGAAUGUGGUUUCGAAAAGUAUAUUUAUUGUGUAGCCUACUUCUCAGAGUCACACACAGACCGGGAAAGGGAUUCACUGUUAUUUAUACCCCUCCCUUCCCCCAAUGGUUCUCCCAGAACAGUGUGAAUGGUAGCAGCCAGCUUCGUUCUGUGUCAUGACUUUGAGUUCUGAAAGCGCUUUUACUUUUAAUAAUGCGCCGCUACAUUCGUGCAUUCCUCGUGUGCAUGUUGUUUGCCGUAUUCUCGGCCUUGUACGUGUAGAGUAAACUAUUUUAUUCAGAUCUGUCGGUCGGAGGAGGAGGAGGAGGACUGGGUGAGAAGACUUUCCUCCAUCGAGCCGCGGACUCUAAGCGAAGCGACAUUGGACUAGAAACCAGGCGAGGCCCAGACGAAGCAGAACCAGGCGAUCAACACUGGUACAUCCUGAGGAAAGCAGAGGGCCGUGUGAGGACGGCUACAUCCUGAGGAAAGCAGAGGGCCGUGUGAGGACGGCUGCAGCCAUACAUCCUGAGGAAAGCAGAGGGCCGUGUGAGGACGGCUACAGCCAUACAUCCUGAGGAAAGCAGAGGGCCGUGUGAGGACGGCUACAGCCAUACAUCCUGAGGAAAGCAGAGGGCCGUGUGAGGACGGCUGCAGCCUGAGGAAAGCAGAGGGCCGUGUGAGGACGGCUGCAGCCUGAGGAAAGCAGAGGGCCGUGUGAGGACGGCUGCAGCCUGAGGAAAGCAGAGGGCCGUGUGAGGACGGCUGCAGCCUGAGGAAAGCAGAGGGCCGUGUGAGGACGGCUGCAGCCUGAGGAAAGCAGAGGGCCGUGUGAGGACGGCUGCAGCCUGAGGAAAGCAGAGGGCCGUGUGAGGACGGCUGCAGCCAUGCACCUGGCUGUCGUGGCCUGUGGACAGAGACUACAGGAGACUCUCACCAUGCUGAAGUCUGCCGUUAUGCUCAGCAUCAAACCACUGUGCCUCCACAUCUUCUCUGAAGACCAGCUGCACGCCAGCUUUAUAGAGGCUGUGAGUUGGACUGGAUGCACUACAAGGCCUAUAGCCUGUGAUUGAAGUAUAAUAAUGUGGUAGUAAUGAGAUGUGAUAAUGACGUUGUAAUAUCAUGUCCUACUAUGAUAAUGUAAUAGCAUCUACAUCACAACUCUAACAUAUAGGCUUCAAUAAAGUCCCAUUUGGUCCAGUGUACAUGAUACACACAGAAUAGAAAACACUAUGAACAGCUGCUCUUUCCAUAACAGACUGACCAGGUGAAUCCAGGUGAAACCUAUGAUCCCUUGUUGAUGUCACCUGUUAAAGCCACUUCAAUCAGUGUAGAUGAAGGUGAGGAGACGGGUUAAAGAAGGAUUUUUAAGCAUUGAGACAUGAAUUGUGUAUGUGUGUCAUUCAGAGGGUGAAUGGGCAAGACAAAAGAUUGAAGUGCCUUUUGAAUUGGGAACGGUAGUAGGUGCCAGGCGUACUGGUUUGUGUUAAGAACCGCAAUGCUAAUAUGAUGAGCUUACCGAGUGGUGCAGCGGUCUAAGGCACUGCAUCUUAGUGCUAGAGGCGUCACUACAGACCCUGGUUCGAUCCCAGGCUGUAUCACAACCGACUGAUCGGGAGUCCCAUAGGACAGCACACAAUUGGCCCAGCGUCGUCCAGGUUAGGGGAGGGUUUGGCCAGGGUAGGCCGUCAUUGUAAAAUAAGAAUUUGUUCUUAACUGACUUGCCUAGUUAAAUGAAGGUUAAAUAAAUAAAAUUAAAACGCUAAA